CAGUAGCCGCGGUAAUACGGAGGGGGCUAGCGUUGUUCGGAAUUACUGGGCGUAAAGCGCACGUAGGCGGCUUUGUAAGUCAGAGGUGAAAGCCCGGGGCUCAACCCCGGAAUUGCCUUUGAGACUGCAUCGCUUGAAUCCAGGAGAGGUGAGUGGAAUUCCGAGUGUAGAGGUGAAAUUCGUAGAUAUUCGGAAGAACACCAGUGGCGAAGGCGGCUCACUGGACUGGUAUUGACGCUGAGGUGCGAAAGCGUGGGGAGCAAACAGGAUUAGAUACCCCUGUAGUCCCUGUCUCUUAUAC
rnacentral:rRNA from 1 species